rnacentral:rRNA from 1 species
UAGAGUUUGAUCAUGGCUCAGGAUGAACGCUGGCGGCGUGGAUAAGGCAUGCAAGUUGUACGCUACCGUUUACGGAAAGCGUAGCAAACGGGUUAGUAAUACGUCGGAACGUACCUCAAGGUUCGGCAUAGCCUCGCGAAAGCGGGGGUAAUUCCGGAUGUGUCCCUGAAUCUUUAUGUUUCAGGGGGAAAGAAGCAAUUCGCCUUGAGAUUGGCCGACGGCCUAUCAGCUUGUUGGUGGGGUAAAAGCCCACCAAGGCCAUGACGGGUAGGGGGUCUGAGAGGAUGUUCCCCAACACUGGCACUGAGACACGGGCCAGACACCUACGGGUGGCAGCAGCCGAGAAUCUUCCCCAAUGGACGAAAGUCUGAGGGAGCGACGCCGCAUGCAGGAAGAAUGCCUUCGGGUUGUAAACUGCUUUUAUAGAGGAGAAACCGUAUUUCACUAUGUUUAUUACGGAAUUAUCAAUCAUCAAUAAUCAAUGAUCAGUGAAUUUUCAAUUCAAUGAAUGAUCAAUUUUCAGGCUUUUGAAAAUUGAAAAUUAAAAAAUUGGAAAUUGAUUGAAAAUUGUAAAUUGAUAAUUGGAAAUUUCCGUACUGAACUGUAGUGAAGUACGGUGAUAGUACUCUAUGAAUAAGAGGUUGCUAACUCUGUGCCAGCAGCCGCGGUAAUACAGAGACCUCAAGCGUUAUCCGGAUUUAUUGGGCGUAGAGGGUCCGUAGGGGGCCGAAUAAGCCGAACGUUAAACAUAUCAGCUCAACUGAUAAUUUGCGUUUGGAACUGUUUGGCUAGAGCACGUCAGAGGUCAUUGGAACUCACGGUGUAGGGGUGAUAUCCGUUGAUAUCGUGGGGAACACCAAAGGCGAAGGCAUUUGACUGGGGCGUUGCUGACCCUGAGGGACGAAAGCUAGGGUAGCGAAUGGGAUUAGAUACCCCAGUAGUCCUAGCUGUAAACGAUGAGUGCUAGACGUUGGAAGAUUCGACCCUUCCAGUGUCGCAGCUAACGCGUUAAGCACUCCGCCUGGGAAGUACGGCCGCAAGGCUAAGACUCAAAGGAAUAGACGGGGAUCCGCACAAGCGGUGGAGCGUCUGGUUUAAUUCGACAAUAAGCGUGGAACCUCACCAAGGCUUGACAUCCUCUGAAAACUCUGGAAACAGAGCUUUCCCGAGCAAUCGGGACAGAGUGACAGGUGCUGCAUGGUUGUCGUCAGCUCGUGCUGUGAAGUGUUCCGUUAAGUCGGGUAACGAGCGCAACCCUCGCCGUGUGUUGUAUUUUUCACACGGGACUGCUCCGGCAACGGGGAGGAAGGCGGGGAUGACGUCAAAUCAGCAUGGCCCUUAUGUCUUGGGCUACACAGGCGCUACAAUGGUUGCUACAAAGGGUUGCCAACUCGCGAGAGGGAGCCAAUCCCAUAAAAAGCAAUCAUAGUUCGGAUUGAAGGCUGAAAUUCGCCUUCAUGAAGUCGGAAUCGCUAGUAAUCGUGAAUCAGCCACGUCACGGUGAAUAUGUUCCCGGAUCUUGUACUCACCGCCCGUCACACCAAGGGAGUUGGGAAUACCCGAAACACCUCUUUAUGGGGUACUACGGUAAGUCCAGCGACAGGGGUGAAGUCGUAACAAGGUAACCGUAA